GUUUCCGUAGUGUAGCGCUCAUCACGUGCGCCUAACACGCGCAAAGUCUCCAGUUCGAUCCUCGGCGGGAACA